rnacentral:rRNA from 1 species
CAGUAGCCGCGGUAAUACGAGGGGGGCAAGCGUUGUUCGGAAUUAUUGGGCGUAAAGGGCGCGUAGGCGGUUUGACAAGUCUUACGUGAAAUCUUCGGGCUCAACUCGAAGUCUGCAUGGGAAACUGUCGGGCUUGGGUAUGGGAGAGGUGAGUGGAAUUUCCGGUGUAGCGGUGAAAUGCGUAGAUAUCGGAAGGAACACCUGUGGCGAAAGCGGCUCACUGGACCAUUUCUGACGCUGAUGCACGAAAGCUAGGGGAGCAAACAGGAUUAGAUACCCCCGUAGUCCCUGUCUCUUAUAC